AACGAACGCUGGCGGCAUGCCUAACACAUGCAAGUCGAACGAGACCUUCGGGUCUAGUGGCGCACGGGUGCGUAACGCGUGGGAACCUGCCCUUAGGUUCGGAAUAACUCCCCGCAAGGGGUGCUAAUACCGGAUAAUGUCUUCGGACCAAAGAUUUAUCGCCUUUGGAUGGGCGCGCGUUGGAUUAGCUAGUUGGUAGGGUAAAAGCCUACCAAGGCGACGAUCCAUAGCUGGUCUGGGAGGAGGAUCAGCCACACUGGGGCUGAGACACGGCCCAGAAUCCUACGGGGGGCAGCAGUAGGGAAUAUUAGGCGAUGGGCGAAGGCCUGAUCCAGCAAUGCCGCGGGAGAGAUGAAGGCCUUAGGGUUGUAAAGCUCUUUUACCCGGGAUGAUAAUGACAGUACCGGGAGAAUAAGCUCCGGCUAACUCCGUG
rnacentral:rRNA from 1 species